ACACGUCUCCCUCCCUUCGCGCGUAGGCCUCCUUUGGUUUCAUCUUCCUCGCUGCUCUUUUCCGAUUCAAAACUCCAACCCCCUCUCCCCUCUCCCCAACCCCCCAAACCCUACCAUGUCCUCCUCUACCGACGCCAUGGCGUCGCCUUGCUCCCAUGACCAAUUCGACGGUAAGCGCCUCUCCCCACAGCCCAUCCCUAACCCUAGCCCCAGCCCAGAUCCUAUCUCCGCCGCCUCCCGCCGCAGAACCAGACCGUGAGACGGUGCUGAACUACGUUUUCCAGGCGACCUCCGACGACGAGCUCUCCAUCUUCAAGGAGCUGGUCACGAUAAUACUGGACAAUGGCAGGGGCCGCCCCAAGGAAGCGAUUGAGGAAUUGAGGGUGGAAGAUGUCGGGCAGCUUGAAGGUUUCAGUGCGCUGCACAUUGCGGCCAGUAAAGGGAGUCUGGGGGUGUGCAGGUACCUCGUCGAGGAGCUGCUGGUAGAUGUGGAUCUGGUCGAUAAGGAAGGUCCAUCUAUCUUCAGAACCCUAAUCUAUUGGUUUAGGACCCUGCGCACACAUUCAGUCUAGGUUUUGUCAAAUUGUAUGAAGUGCUAUUUUACAUGCUGGAAUUAUUGUUCACAAGGGUUGCUUGAUCUGCAAUGGUGCUUGAUGCUGAUGAUGCAGUCUUGUUCUCAGACAGGAGCCUUUGUUGGCUUCAACUGGGUGAUGGAAAAAAGGCUUUGCUAGAUGCUAAUAGAUGCAGAAAAAUGCGGCCUCACUGGCCAAAAGCUUGUCACCGGCAGGGUGAAGCUCGGAUGCUACUGAAGGACUAUGAGGGCGCAAGUGAACGGUUCUUGGAUGGACUCAAGUUGGACCCAGUGGACACUGAUACCGAGGCUGCAUUACGGGAAGCUAUGAAGUCCUUGAAGACGUCUAGGUCUCGGAGCAUGAGAGCCAAUUGACUAUUUGGGUGUUGCAGGGAAGUCAGUUGAAGACUUGAAAUGGGUCAGCAGGAGUUUCUACGUUUGCGCAAAGACCGUUUUCCGUUCGAAAGUAAAAACGACAUGUCUGACGGACCGUGGUAUGACUGUUGAUGCAUGCAGUAGCAGUACCCGGUGGAGACUCUCCAGUUGCCAUCUAUCGUGUAUCAGGCUCUUAUGUCAGGUUUUUGGGUCUUCGACGAAGCUCACUCGUCUGCGGCGUCAACCGAAUGAUCGCAGCCUCCGCAUUGGUCUUGUUGCGGUGUUGCUGAAUUCCCUCACUGCUAGUGUUUUUACUACUCACGUUGGUACAAUGCAGUCACGACAGAGAAGAGGGGGAUGUUUUGUUGGUUUUGUUCGCCCUGUGGGUGCAGAAGAAGAUGAGAGCUAGCAGGAGCUUGCUGGCUACGGUUUGGCGGCUGCUAUCUGUUGUUUUUCUGAACUCGGUUGGUUGCUGUGUGAGGUGGUUCGGACAAUGUAAUGAUGAUUUCAGAAAUCAGGGAGUAAAUGGCAAAAAACUACUGCUUUUUUUAACCCUCGGUGAG